GAAAAAUUGGCUCAAUGGUUAUAACGUUUGACUUCUAAUCAACAGGUCUCGGGUUUGAUCCUCGAAUAGUGCA
rnacentral:tRNA from 1 species